GGAGCCCUGCCCGGGAGCAGGGCGUGCGGCCGCAGGGCUGGCAGAGCCCGUGUCGGGCAGCUGUGCCACCUGGGGCCGCCGCAUGCUCUGUCUUGCCAGGGGUGGCUGGAGUGCUCAUAAUGGGGCAGAAGGAGGAGCUCCACGUCCUCCCUGAGGCUCUUUAAGCCCUGAAGGAAGAUGAGAGUCCAUCGUGCAUGAGCAAAUUGCUUCAGAUGACCUUUGAUAGAAGAUCUGCAGGACUUUGUUUGUCUGAUGGAUCAGAUGUACCAGCGUCCAUUAGCGAUUUCCAGUGCCCAUUGAAGAUGGGAGCACCUGCAGAGCAGGAUGGACCCGCUGGAGCUCCAGGCACAGCUCUGGCUGCUCAGAGAUGAGCCUGUGCGAAGCUCCUGCCAUCUCUCUCCCUGUUGACAGCUCCUUCCCUUCCCUGCAGCCCUCAGGCCCUGCCCAUCCCCUUUUCUGCCUCCCAGCUCACCCCUUCGCUUCGCUUUCCCUUAAUAAACUGUUUGGGUUUUUCACUUGA